rnacentral:rRNA from 1 species
UACGGGGGGGGCAAGCGUUGUUCGGAAUUACUGGGCGUAAAGGGCUCGUAGGCGGCCAACUAAGUCGGAUGUGAAAUCCCCAGGCUUAACCUGGGAACUGCAUCCGAUACUGGCAGGCUUGAAUAUGGAAGAGGGUCGCGGAAUUCCCGGUGUAGAGGUGAAAUUCGUAGAUAUUCGGAGGAACACCAGUGGCGAAGGCGGCUUACUGGUCCAUUACUGACGCUGAGGUGCGAAAGCGUGGGGAGCAAACAGG